UGAGAGAUACAUUCACCGUCGAACAGAUAGAGAACUUCUCUUCGCUUUUAACAGUUUUGAAUCAUUUAGUUAAUGGCUGGUUAGUGGUUCAUGUAGCUUUAUGGCUUCUUGGCAGCUUCCUGAGAAGGUGGGAAUCCUUGGAUGGUGUUAUUGCACCAUGGUUACAUAGUAUAUGUGAUGUCAUCCUCUACCACAACAGUUGUUAGCAACCGUAUGGAAUUAAUCCAGCAGCCUGGGGAUUUCUGGAGAAGCUAUUCUAGUUUUGUCCUGGUGGAUACUGAAAAUAUUAAGGGAUAAAUAGGAUGAAGUUUGUGUUAAUGUCAUCUUUGCUCCACCCUGCAUGCUUCACGAUCUUUUGUCAUGCUACGUUCUGAGUUCAUGAUUAAUACCCAUCUUUCAUGCGAACUGUUACCCUGAAAAGCACUUCUGAAUGAUGCUCAGGUCCCUGGGAGCUUCCCCAUCCCAAGGUCUAUUUUCUCUGAUAUUUUCUAUCCUAUGGAAAUCAGAUGAUAGGCAGAACUACAGAUGGAAUUGAACUGAGUAAUGCUGGAAUUCAUUAUGCCAGACUUCUACCUAUGUUUUGCAUAUCUGAAAGCUGGUAAUGAUUUUUUUGUGGAUAAUUUA